GAUGAACGCUGGCGGCGUGCCUAAUACAUGCAAGUCGAGCGAACAGACGAGGAGCUUGCUCCUCUGACGUUAGCGGCGGACGGGUGAGUAACACGUGGAUAACCUACCUAUAAGACUGGGAUAACUUCGGGAAACCGGAGCUAAUACCGGAUAAUAUAUUGAACCGCAUGGUUCAAUAGUGAAAGACGGUUUUGCUGUCACUUAUAGAUGGAUCCGCGCCGCAUUAGCUAGUUGGUAAGGUAACGGCUCACCAAGGCAACGAUGCGUAGCCGACCUGAGAGGGUGAUCGGCCACACUGGAACUGAGACACGGUCCAGACUCCUACGGGAGGCAGCAGUAGGGAAUCUUCCGCAGUGGGCGAAAGCCUGACGGAGCGACGCCGCGUGAGUGAUGAAGGUCUUCGGAUCGUAAAACUCUGUUAUUAGGGAAGAACAAAUGUGUAAGUAACUAUGCACGUCUUGACGGUACCUAAUCAGAAAGCCACGGCUAACUACGUG
rnacentral:rRNA from 1 species